rnacentral:rRNA from 1 species
CAAUAGCGUAUAUUAAAGUUGUUGCGGUUAAAAAGCUCGUAGUUGGAUUUCUGCUGAGAACGACCGGUCCGCCCUCUGGGUGUGUAUCUGGCUCUUUCUUGGCAUCUUCUUGGUGAACGUUGCUGCACUUGACUGUGUGGAGCGCUACCCAGGACUUUUACUUUGAGGAAAUUAGAGUGUUUCAAGCAGGCAUACGCCUUGAAUACAUUAGCAUGGAAUAAUAAGAUAGGACCUCGGUUCUAUUUUGUUGGUUUCUAGAGCUGAGGUAAUGAUUAAUAGGGAUAGUUGGGGGCAUUCGUAUUUAACUGUCAGAGGUGAAAUUCUUGGAUUUGUUAAAGACGGACCACUGCGAAAGCAUUUGCCAAGGAUGUUUUCAUUGA